UGAAGAGUUUGAUCAUGGCUCAGAUUGAACGCUGGCGGCAGGCCUAACACAUGCAAGUCGAACGGUAACAGGAAGCAGCUUGCUGCUUCGCUGACGAGUGGCGGACGGGUGAGUAAUGUCUGGGAAACUGCCUGAUGGAGGGGGAUAACUACUGGAAACGGUGGCUAAUACCGCAUAACGUCGCAAGACCAAAGAGGGGGACCUUCGGGCCUCUUGCCAUCAGAUGUGCCCAGAUGGGAUUAGCUUGUUGGUGAGGUAACGGCUCACCAAGGCGACGAUCCCUAGCUGGUCUGAGAGGAUGACCAGCCACACUGGAACUGAGACACGGUCCAGACUCCUACGGGAGGCAGCAGUGGGGAAUAUUGCACAAUGGGCGCAAGCCUGAUGCAGCCAUGCCGCGUGUAUGAAGAAGGCCUUCGGGUUGUAAAGUACUUUCAGCGGGGAGGAAGGUGUUGUGGUUAAUAACCGCAGCAAUUGACGUUACCCGCAGAAGAAGCACCGGCUAACUCCGUGCCAGCAGCCGCGGUAAUACGGAGGGUGCAAGCGUUAAUCGGAAUUACUGGGCGUAAAGCGCACGCAGGCGGUCUGUCAAGUCGGAUGUGAAAUCCCCGGGCUCAACCUGGGAACUGCAUUCGAAACUGGCAGGCUUGAGUCUUGUAGAGGGGGGUAGAAUUCCAGGUGUAGCGGUGAAAUGCGUAGAGAUCUGGAGGAAUACCGGUGGCGAAGGCGGCCCCCUGGACAAAGACUGACGCUCAGGUGCGAAAGCGUGGGGAGCAAACAGGAUUAGAUACCCUGGUAGUCCACGCCGUAAACGAUGUCUACUUGGAGGUUGUGCCCUUGAGGCGUGGCUUCCGGAGCUAACGCGUUAAGUAGACCGCCUGGGGAGUACGGCCGCAAGGUUAAAACUCAAAUGAAUUGACGGGGGCCCGCACAAGCGGUGGAGCAUGUGGUUUAAUUCGAUGCAACGCGAAGAACCUUACCUGGUCUUGACAUCCACAGAAGAAUCCAGAGAUGGAUUUGUGCCUUCGGGAACUGUGAGACAGGUGCUGCAUGGCUGUCGUCAGCUCGUGUUGUGAAAUGUUGGGUUAA
rnacentral:rRNA from 1 species